ensembl:snRNA U2 U2 spliceosomal RNA
AUUGCUUCUCAGCCUUUUGGCUAAGAUCAAGUGUAGUAUCUGUUCUUAUCAGUUUAAUAAAAUUGGAGGCCGGUGCCGCGGCUCACUAGGCUAAUCCUCCGCCUGUGGCGCCGCCACCCCUGGUUCUAGUCCCGGUUGGGGCGCCGGAUU